rnacentral:lncRNA from 1 species
UUUUUCGUUACUUCCUCCAAGCAGAUCUCUUUCCGCACCGAGCCCAACAGUUUUGCUACUCCCAGGUCAAGCAAAAGGCACCGCGUUUUGGCAGGCAGCCUAUCUGCCCGGCCCAGUCGCAGCAGUUUUUAUGAAGGGAGCCAGCUAGCAGGGAGGGGGAGCAGGGGAGGGCUGCCUCCUUCUCCGGAGGGCCAUCCAAAAUGUUCCUGUAGGGCAGACCCUGCCCGUUUGCAGCUAAAAGUGCCAGGAUCCGGCUGCUUCCCCACUGAACCAAGAGCAAAGGUCCCAGGAAGCUUUCCCACCACGCACACACGCUGGAGUUUCGAGCAGGGUUUCUGUCCCCGAUCAACAACAAAGGAAAGUUCCUGCUCACAUCAAUCAGCCUCAAGGGCUGUCUGGGCUGCGCAGCCCGUUCAGAGCCAAGAGGAAACCAGACACUCACAAAUACCUGUCCAAAUCAGGCUUGUCAACAUGACAAGCCCUAACAAACAAAAAGAGUCGCCUGGAAGCUGCAACCCUUCCUGCUCAGGGCCAAACACAGCAACGUUCCCGGGCUUGCCAGCGGUGCCCAGGUGGUCCUGCCCCGCGGCCACGCUCAGCGCCUGCAGCACGGGCACCAAGGACACCCAGCACCGGGAUUUCUCCAGCAGGGCACGCAGCCAGGAGCAGCUAGGGACAGGACCCUGAAGCCAAAAGCUUAUCCAUAGUCCAACCGUAUUACUUAAAUAAAAAAAUAGUUUGUCCUCAGAGCUGGCUUCCCUCCUCCCCCCCCACCGCAUGUUUCCAUGGUAAAAGGACAGCCAUUAUCAAUGAGGUCUGCUGAAUGUAAUAGAUAAAAAUCAUCUUAUGGAACAUUCAUUCAGGCUGGGUUUUGUCCCUUGACCCAUGUGUACACUUGGUUCUAAACAAAGGAGAACAGGCAAGAUAAAUUAGUGGGGCAGGCGUACUCCAGCAAAUAGAUGCCUUUUUUAUUUUUAAUCUGUCUCCAUUAAAUUUAUGUGUCCAUUGGCUAGAAGACAGCAUUCUGCAUUCUUCUCCAAACAUACCAAACAAAAACUCAGCCAGUGGCGUGAUUCUUGUGAUCAAGGUCACAGGCCUGGGACGCUGGUUUUGCUGGAGCAUGCAUCUGAAUGCUGAACCCACAACUUCAUUUAACAUGGGAAAAGUAGUAAAAACUGAAACAAUUUGCUUAGCAGAAUGACAAGCACUGAG